AUGGGCUGGUCAUCCAUAUCAUGUCAAUUCUUGACCAGCCCUGGUGCCUGUGGGAGUAAAAAGUAUAAUCCUUUUUCUGACAAAGUGCACAAUUGUAUCCCUUGCCACUUUAUUUUUCUUAGCAAAUGUUGUAGUUAUUCUGUAGGCUCGGUCCACUUCUUUAUCCAUCUCUUGCUCUGUAAGUUGUAAAAUUUUUGCCGUUAUCUGUAAAAUUAUUUUUCUUAUCUGUUCGUUGGGAUCUUCUGGAAUAUUUCUAAAUCUUAAUUGGAAUUCCCUCCCAUCCUGUUCCAGUUUUUCUUACUUCUGUUCCAAUUUCUCACUUCUAUUUUGUAAACUUGACAUCUUCUUCUGUAUUUUCUCUUGGGCCAUUUCCAUUUUUUGUUUGUCGCUUUUAAUUUCUUUAAUCUCUGCAUAUACUGUCUCUAGUUCCUUUUUGACUUUUCCAAUUUCCUCUUUCAUUUCUUUUUUCAUCUCUAACAUUUGAUCUUGAAAUUUUCGAAAAUCUUUUUGUUGUGUUAAUUGUCUUUCUGCUACUAAUUGAAGUUCUUUAUUUUGUAUAUCUUGCUUCUCGGAAAGUUUCUGUAGUUCUUUCAUCAAUUCUGUAAACCCAAUCUCUCCUGCAUUUGAUUGUCUUCUGGGUGUGCCUUUAAUGUCUUUGGUGUCUUUUUCCAUUUUGCUUUUUGGUGUAAACAUGCUGGUGUGCCCCUUUUUAAACAGAGAACAAAACAACAACAACUGUUUGACACUUCUUAUUCAAUUUGGAGAAUUAUUUAUGAAUUAAUAUAAUUAGUAAUUUUUUCAAUUCAUGCGGUUCCUAUCUUCUGAAAAUCUGAAUUCUUAUGGUAUGUUUGUAAGUUCAGUAGAGGAGGUACUUAGGGAAUUAAAAAUUAAUUGAUAAGGCUCUUCCAAUUCUCAACAAACUUCCAGUUGAGUCAAAACUUCUAAACAAUUAAUCCUUUUGUUCUCUUCGGUCUAUUUGUGACUUCGAAUAUCUUAAUUAACUUCCACAAAUCAAAUUAAUAUUGUCCCGUCGUUUAUUAAAUUUUUAUCCUCUCAAAUUCAUUUAUGUCUUUAUGAUUUAAACCCCUCCCGUUCAUUUGUGUCUUUAAUAGCUUAAACGACCCAGUUAAACUGUUUCGGUCAAUUGAUUUAUUUUAUUUUAUUUUAUUUAUGUAUUUUAAUUCCUUCAAUCAAUUUUUAUCUUUAAUUUCAUUGAUAUAUUAGUCAACUUGAAUUAGCCUGAUUUGAGAUUUCAUAGAACUCAUUCCGUUCCGUCUCAUCCACUCUUCCUUCCGUCGUUCCCUGUGUGUCCCUUUAGAGGUCUCCCGUCUUCGCUCUUCCUGUUGAAGCCGUUGGGCGGUUCAUCCGCCCUUAGCCCUUAGCGCUAUCCAAUCCCAGUUGACCUCUUCCGUGAUCCUUUACUCUGCUUCCUUCUUUUUUUGUUUGUUUGUGGAGGUGGCUUCGUAAACUAACCAAUAUGUCUUCAAAGUCAGCUUCUUAUAACAUUACAUUUCUUCCUUGGGGGAAUCUUCCCACCCCCUGGCCUGUUUUGAUCUCCCUCCCCGCUCUACCGAAGCCGGGAGCCGGGGUUUUCUGAGGCUCUCAAAGGCGAAAGAUAAGUGCUUUAGCUUUUAUUGUCUCCGAAAGCCCCUUUCUCCCUUGCUGUUUAAUUAGGGGGGAACGGGUUCUUAUGCAAAGCUUCAGAUUUUUUUCUUUGAAACUCACGGUUUCUUGCGCUGGUCCCCCAGCCUUCUUGUAAUGUUUUCUUCAGUUUUAAAAUGUGCGGAGGUCGGCAGUUAAUGCGGGUCUUUCCCCGCUUCCCUCUUGGCGACACAACAUAACUUGUAGGUGAAAUAUUUUGUUUUAGACUGCAAGUUUACAGCUAUGUACAUAAUUCCAUUCCUUGUUCAGAGCAUUAAAUUCCAGGCUUGAAAGAGCAUGGCCUGCUAUGGGAAAAUCUCAUUUUACUCAAAAUUAUAAAUCCUCCUUUAGCUAUUCUAUUAUUAUUUCUGAAGAGGGCUGAUCUCUGGGUCAUUGAAGAUCUGCAGCUAGACAAUUGUUUUUGUCCUUGCUUUCCCUCACAAUGCAUUAUAAAGCCCAGGGAAAAUUUACCAGUAUUUACUGCAUAGUUGGCUUUAGUUGACAAGAGGAAAAAGAACUAGAUAUCACAAGUAUCUAGUGACAGUUCAAUCCAAAGUUUAAAAUGACAUCUUCCUAUGAUUUUCUAUAAAUACUAAAUUAUGUGAUUAAUAGAAGAGAUCCCCUAGAAUGCAAUACACCGAGAUCCUUGGUCCUGAACAUGGCAAAGUCUUUCCAGGAGCCAACUGGAAAGGUGGCAAGUAAUAGAAUAUGGUGCCCCCAGAACCCAAUCCAGCAAAGAAUCCAAAUGAAAGCCAUGAUGGAUGGUACUAAAACAUUGAUCCUAAAAUACUUCCAGGGCU
rnacentral:lncRNA from 1 species